rnacentral:rRNA from 1 species
UAAAUUAAGAGUUUGAUCCUGGCUCAGGAUGAACGCUGGCGGCGUGCUUAACACAUGCAAGUCGAGCGAUGAAGUUUCCUUCGGGAAAUGGAUUAGCGGCGGACGGGUGAGUAACACGUGGGUAACCUGCCUCAUAGAGUGGAAUAGCCUU